rnacentral:rRNA from 1 species
AGGGGAAACGACAUCGAAAGCUUGCUUUUGAUGGGCGUCGACCGGCGCACGGGUGAGUAACGCGUAUCCAACCUGCCCACCACUUGGGGAUAACCUUGCGAAAGUAAGACUAAUACCCAAUGAUAUCUCUAGAAGACAUCUGAAGGAGAUUAAAGAUUUAUCGGUGAUGGAUGGGGAUGCGUCUGAUUAGCUUGUUGGCGGGGUAACGGCCCACCAAGGCGACGAUCAGUAGGGGUUCUGAGAGGAAGGUCCCCACAUUGGAACUGAGACACGGUCCAAACUCC